rnacentral:tRNA from 1 species
AAAGAAUUAGUUAAAUAUUAUAACAUAAAUCUGUCUAAUUUAAAUUAUUAUUAUAUAAUAUUCUUUU